UCCAUACACAGCCAGAUAUCGAUUAGAAGGCCAGGCAACAUGGCGCAGGCUGGCAAGACUUAUGGAUCGACGGGAGAAAUAGUCAUGUUCGCCAGGUUCCAAACAGACUUCGGACACCGGACACGCACUUAAGGGUUGUCCACUAAAUGCGCUAACAUCUACGUUAAUUCAAAUGUGAUUUAUGGGUCUUAUAAUAAUGCACGCACCGCCUAAACUUACCGUGUCGAAGCUACAAAACGGUGGUGUUAUCCAAUACUAGCUAGGGUCUAUUAGCGAACCGGACCGAGUGUGUGAGUGUGGGUAAUAAUAGUUGGGCUACUAUUUUAAUUCACAGGCUGUGCUGUACACCUUGUAGUGAAGGGAAGCUGUAGCGUUAGCAGGCAGUACCAAGCAGCAUGGCAGCGGUGGCAGCCUGGCUCCCCUUCGCCCGAGCGGCGGCCAUCGGUUGGGUUCCGGUGGCUCAGCAACCCAUGCCCCCUCCCCCCGUGAAUAGGGAGCACAACCGCACCGAUGAUUUGAUGAAGAUCAACGUCAGCGGGCGCAGGUUUGAAACUUGGAGAAAUACUCUUGAGAAGUACCCUGACACUCUGCUUGGAUCAAACGAAAAGGAGUUUUUCUACGAUGAAGACGCCAAGGAAUAUUUCUUUGACCGUGAUCCAGAUAUUUUCAGAAAUGUUCUUAAUUAUUACAGAACUGGGAAGUUGCACUAUCCAAAGCAUGAAUGCAUUACGGCGUAUGAUGAAGAGCUCGCAUUCUUCGGUAUCAUGCCUGACAUUAUUGGCGAUUGCUGUUACGAAGAUUAUAGGGACAGAAAACGCGAGAACAAUGAGCGCUUGCUCGAUGACAAAGAUUCUGAAGAUGGUGAUAAUGUACCCCUGGCCUCUAUGAGGGAAAAAUUAUGGCGUGCUUUUGAAAAUCCUCAAACGGGUACCGCAGCAUUAGUGUUUUAUUAUGUGACAGGGUUCUUUAUUGCUGUGUCAGUAAUGGGAAAUGUGGUGGAAACCGUUCCAUGUGGAAUCGUACCGGGAACAUUUGAUAAUCCUUCUUGUGGGGACCGGUACGAAAAGGUGUUCUUUGUAGUAGACACUGCAUGCGUCAUGAUUUUCUCAGUGGAAUAUCUCCUUCGGCUGUACGCAGCGCCUGAUCGCUGUAAAUACAUGCGUAGCAUAAUGAGUGUAAUCGAUGUGGUGGCCAUUUUACCCUACUACAUCGGGCUGUUUCUUACGGAAGAAAAUGACGACGUUAGUGGUGCAUUCGUGACUCUCAGAGUCUUCAGAGUUUUUCGUAUCUUUAAGUUUUCAAGGCAUUCGCAGGGAUUACGAAUCCUUGGCUACACUUUGAAGAGCUGUGCCAGCGAACUGGGGUUCCUGGUAUUUUCCCUUGCAAUGGCUAUCAUCAUAUUUGCCACAAUAAUGUUUUAUGCAGAAAAGAACGUAGAAAACACAAAAUUUACCAGUAUCCCUGCAGCAUUUUGGUACACCAUCGUUACUAUGACUACUUUAGGUUAUGGUGACAUUACCCCAGAAACCAUUAUGGGAAAAAUAGUGGGUGGUAUUUGCUCCCUUAGCGGUGUGUUGGUGAUCGCGCUUCCAGUCCCUGUCAUAGUGUCAAAUUUUAGCCGCAUUUAUCAUCAAAGUCAAAGAACCGACAAACGCAAAGCGCAGAAGUUAUGGAGAUAUCGUCCCCAAUACAAUAACAGGGAAAUGCGUGGGUGGUAUUUGCUCACUGAGCGGUGUGUUGGUGAUCGCGCUUCCAGUGCCUGUCAUUGUGUCAAAUUUCAGCCGUAUUUAUCACCAAAAUCAAAGAGCAGACAAACGAAAGUCUCAAAAGAAAGCCCGGCUAGCAAGGAUAAGAAUGGCCAAAAACGCAAGUGGUGCGGCUUUUGUGGCGCGAAAGAAAAAGGAAGAAGAGCGAAUACGGCUGCAAGAAUUAGGUCAGGAGCCUGAAGAUAAAGAUGACGCAGACGUAUUUGAGCUUCAGCACCAUCAUUUGCUGAGUUGCUUGGAAAAAACCACAGACCGCGAGUUCACAGAUAUGGACGUGAACUAUAAUGGUCAGCCCACCAAGCUCCUAGGCACCCCUCCUCUCACCCCCACCAUGUCUG
rnacentral:misc_RNA from 1 species